rnacentral:rRNA from 1 species
UACAGAGGUCCCAAGCGUUUGUUCGGAUUCAUUGGGCGUAAAGGGUGCGUAGGCGGCGCGGUAAGUCGGGUGUGAAAUCUCGGGGCUUAACUCCGAAACUGCAUUCGAUACUGCCGUGCUUGAGGACUGGAGAGGAGACUGGAAUUUACGGUGUAGCGGUGAAAUGCGUAGAUAUCGUAAGGAAGACCAGUGGCGAAGGCGGGUCUCUGGACAGUUCCUGACGCUGAGGCAGCGAAGGCCGGGGGAGCAAACGGG